GAUGAACGCUAGCUACAGGCUUAACACAUGCAAGUCGAGGGGCAGCAUAAAUCUAGCAAUAGAUUUGAAGGCGACCGGCGCACGGGUGAGUAACACGUAUCCAACCUACCUAUUACUCGGGUAUAGCCUUUCGAAAGAAAGAUUAAUCCCCGAUACGAUAUUGAGUUCGCAUGAAUUUGAUAUGAAAGAUUUAUUGGUAUUAGAUGGGGAUGCGUUCCAUUAGAUUGUUGGUGAGGUAACGGCUCACCAAGUCUUCGAUGAAUAGGGGUUCUGAGAGGAAGGUCCCCCACACUGGAACUGAGACACGGUCCAGACUCCUACGGGAGGCAGCAGUGAGGAAUAUUGGUCAAUGGGCGAGAGCCUGAACCAGCCAAGUAGCGUGAGGGAUGACUGCCCUAUGGGUUGUAAACCUCUUUUAUAAGGGAAUAAAACGCUCCACGAGUGGAGCUUUGCAUGUACCUUUUGAAUAAGGAUCGGCUAACUCCGUGCCAGCAGCCGCAGUAA
rnacentral:rRNA from 1 species